rfam:Arthrobacter sp. YC-RL1 contig_22, whole genome shotgun sequence.
CUUCACGAGACGCGGCGCCAAGCUCCGACUGGCCGCGCACCAACCCCAGGUUCAUGGGUGGUUCGGAUGAAGAAGCGGUCCGGGCAUCGACCGAUGCGCGGGCAAGAGCUCAGC